rnacentral:rRNA from 1 species
GAUGAACGCUGGCGGCGUGCCUAAUACAUGCAAGUCGAACGCUGGAAAUCUAGCUUGCUAGAUUGAAGGAGUGGCGAACGGGUGAGUAAUACAUAAGCAACCUACCCACGAAGACUGGGAUAAUCUCUGGAAACGGGGACUAAUACCGGAUAGGUAAUCGGAAGGCAUCUUCUGAUUAUUAAAGGUUAAAAACACUGGUGGAUGGGCUUAUGGCGCAUUAGUUAGUUGGUGAGGUAACGGCCCACCAAGACGAUGAUGCGUAGCCGGCCUGAGAGGGUGAACGGCCACAUUGGGACUGAGACACGGCCCAGACUCCUACGGGAGGCAGCAGUAGGGAAUUUUCAGCAAUGGGGGAAACCCUGACCGAGCAACGCCGCGUGAGUGAUGACGGCCUUCGGGUUGUAAAGCUCUGUUGUAAGGGAAGAACGGUAGAUAGAGAAUAUCUAAAUGACGGUACCUUACCAGAAAGCCACGGCUAACUACGUG